rnacentral:lncRNA from 10 species
CUCAUGCAGCCAGACACAGCGAUAUGAUAAAGAUUUGGCUUGUUAGGGUGAUAUAAUUGUGACAUCUCUGUUACCCUAGAAAUAAGUUGAGAUUAGAAAGCACAGAGAAUAGCAAAAAGGAGUUGCCCCUUGAACAUAAAUGUUUGGAUUUUUAGCUCUUCUCAAAAAUGAUAUGAAGGCAAAAUAAUUUUCCAUUGUAGAGAAAAAUAGCAGGACAGUGAUGAAACAUAAUCUGACCUAUUUAUUUUUCAAUUUUUCCAAAGAAAUCAUAAACACCUCUAAAACACAUGUAUACUGGUGGUGUUAGUCAACUUAUAUCACUGUCUGUGAAGACGAUGCAGCAAAUUCAAUGAAAGUUGUAUACAUCAUGGAAAAGUUUGAAUUGCAUGAAGAAAAGAAGCUGACGGAAGUUCUUUCUGUCACCUCUCUGAAGACCUGGUUCAUAUCUGCAGCUGCAACUCUAUCCCUGAACUCAUCUUUGAAACUACCCAGAGAUAGACUGUCAAGAGCUUCAGAGCUUUACAACAGGAUCUUCCAAGUGCCCUGAGAGGUCAUGAUGGAGCCAAUAGAAAUAAAUCAUACAAAACAAAGCCAGAACCUGGUGGGAGGGAUGCUUACAAAACAACAUAAACGAGAAGUUGUCUGAAAAAAAAUUGUAUGGAAGGAAGAAGAGAUGAGAUAAGGGAAAUGAACUCAUAAUAGCCCCAGUUAAAAUACUUACAGUAAAAUAUCAUUAGUACUACUUGAUGUUGGUGAAAGGCUCUAGACUCAAGUCAGAAGGCCCAAUUUGUUGCUGUGAUUUCUUGAACAAAUUAUGUAAUUGUGUUGAGAUUCAGUUUUCUUUUCUAUCAUUGGGUAUUAAUAACUUCUAUGUGAUGUCAGAGUUAUGAUGUGAAGUUAAAAU